rnacentral:lncRNA from 1 species
UUUAAUGAUUUAUUUUAUAAUUCAUUAAGGGUGUGUUUGGUUCCACGUAAAACUGUGGGAAAAAAAAUUUGGUGGGAAAAAAAUUUUCGGUGGAGAAAAGUUUUACGUCGUUUGGUGUUUGAUUUGUAGGAACAAAAAAAAGCUUUUCACGACAGUUGUUUGGUUGAAAGAAAAAAAAAUUAUAAAUAAAAAUUAUUAUAUAUUUUUUAUUUUAUAUAUUUUAUAUUAUUAGUAUAUAAUUAUUAUCAUAUUAUAUAUAUUAGUAUCACCGUUUAUAUUUAUAAAUAAAAUAUAUUUAAAAUAUAUUAUGCAAUAAUUAAAUAUGCAAUAUAAUAUAUAAUACUAUAAAAUAAAUUACUCGAUAUUUUAAAAUAAAAUAUUAUAUAAUAAAUAUAUUUUUUUUUUGAUUAAACAGGGUAUAAUAAAUAUAUUUUUAUUAAAAAUAAAAUAUAUAUAUAUAUAUAUAUAUAUAUAUAUAUAUAUAUGUAGAACUAGGCUGGAAUACUAUCAAUAGCACCAAGCUAUUUGUGCUAUUAGUUUUUUAGCCAUUGGAUUGAGAAAUGUGCGGUUAGGAUAAUGUGGGCCCCCUAGGGUUGAGUGGGUGGUUGGUUGAAUAGUAUAAUCUAAUGUGGGAAAAUAAUCAAAGGGAUUAAUCUAACGGCAGAAAACUUGAUAGCACUAAAUACUUCGUGUUAUCGAUAGCAUAGUAGCCGGACUCUAUAUAUAUAUAAAGAUGGGGGAGAGAGAGAGGU